UCAAAGGCCCUUUUCAGGGCCACCAAAUUUAUCGAAAAGCUAUACC
rfam:Lingula anatina scaffold9, whole genome shotgun sequence.